AACAAAUUAUAGAAUCUAUUUAUGAAUAUAAGACCGUAUAUAUGGUAGAAUGAUCAUCACUUCUAUAUUUAUAAAACUAUUUAAAAGUUUUAUAGGAAAUCCCAACUGAUUUUUUUUUCUGUUUAGUUUGAUUAACAGUUAUUUUCUGUUUGAGUUAUAGAAAAAAUUGUGUUCUGAAAUUGAUAAAUUUUAUCAGAUGCUACUCCUUUUUUGUUUUUUGUUAUGCUCCUUUUCAAUCAGUGAGAUUACUAAAGGACAGGACCAGUUCCACCCAUGGGCUGCACCCACACUCAUGGAGUAGGCCAGAUGGUGAAGGAUGAGGGAUCAGUGAGCUGGGCCCAGAACAUUGGAAAAAUUUUCAGGGAAUCCAGAUCCAGGAUGCAAACCUGGGUCUUCCAGCAUGGCACAUCAAUGUGUUACCACUCAGUUAUUCAGCCGCUUUCAAAACAUGUAGAGCGAGGACGUGAACCUACAACUUUGAGCAUUGAAAGCGUGGGCUCUAGCUGCAUAGCCACCAAAGCCUCAACAUAUCAGAUGCUAUCAUGAAUUUAUUAUCUUUUUUAUAUUUUUUAAAACUUUAUAGUAAAUAUUACACUACAACUCCAAAAUAUACAUAUUUUUCCGAAGUAUAGAAUAUAAUUUCAAAACAAAUUUUAAAAAAUGGAGUCAGAAUCAAGGAAUGUCUGUGUUGAAUCUACCUUAAUAAUUAUUAGAUAAUAGGUACAGCAGUAUUUGC
rnacentral:lncRNA from 1 species